UGGUUAGUUAAAGCUAACUUAAGUUAAGUAGGAUUUGCUUUAAAACACAGGCAAAGCCUCCUUAAAGGAAGAAGUUAAUCUUCACAGACUUCUUCUUGUUGUUGUUUAUUUUAUUGCCACCAGGUUAAUCACUGGGGUUUAGUGCCAGCACAGUGAAUUCACCAAUCCUGGCAGCCACUUUUUCCAGUUUUUUUUUUCUUUCUAUUUUAUUUGAUAAGACAGAGAGAAAUUAAGAGAGGGAGGGAAAUUGGGGGAGGAAGAGAAAGAUUAGACACUUGCAGACAUGCUUUAUACCCAUGAAGUGUUCCCACUGAGGGUGGGGAGCUAUGCUCAAAUCCAGGUCCUUGCACAUGGUAAUGUGUGUGUUCAACCAGGUGUUUCACUGCCUCGCCCUCAUACUCACAAUUCUCUAGAAACAAGAGACAGUGUGCCAUACAGAGCUUCAUGGAGAUGCAUCAAGAAACUGACUUGUCCAAGGAGCAAACAUCAUGGCCCCAGAGUCCAAGCAUCAUAACACAGGAAAUAAAAACAUGGCAUAAUUACUUUGCAGUAAGAACUAUUAUUAAGGGGCAGGACAACAGUAUAGCCAGUCGAAUGUGCACAUAGAUGAGGACCAAGAAAAAAAAAAGAUGAAAGAAAGGAGAAAGAAAAAGAAAAAAUGGAAGUAAUGAAUGGCCUCUAAGAGCAGUAGAGCAUUGUAUAAGGAACAAGUCCCAGUGAUAACCCUGGUGGAAAAGAUAAAAAUUAUUGUUAAUAUGAGAAAAAAAGAAAAGAAAACUGUUAGUAUCUCUGAGAAUUAUAGAAUAUAUCCAAUUAAUUGUGGUAUAGAGAGGUGAUGACAAGUUUUUAAUAAGACUUCUAUUAGUAUUGCUCUUUGGCCGCUGCUUCUUCUCCUGGUCAGAUGCAUCUCAACAGAGGUUUUCCAGGUAUCCACCAUGGCUACUUCUCCCAGGAACUGAACACAUGUGACUCUGCUAGCCGUGUCCAGAGACACCAGGCAUGGGAUGUCAACCCUUCAGCUCCAUUAUUCUGCUAUCAAGUUGCAGAUGCUGUCAUGGUGCCAACCUAACUUCCCUGGGCAGAUUACCUCACCAAUGUGUCCUGGAACCCCACCUCUCCAGAGCCCUGCCUCACUAGGGAAAGACAGAAACAGGCUGGGAGUAUGUUAUCGACCUGCCAAUACCCAUGUCCAGUGGAGAAGCAAUUACAGAAGCCAGACCUUCCACUUUCUGCAUCCCAUAAUGAUCCUGGGUCCAUAUUCUCAGAGGAAUAAAGACUAGGAAAGCUUUCAAGGGAGGGGAUGGGAUACAGAGUUCUGGUGGUGGGAAUUAUGUGGAAUUGUACCCCUCUUAUCCUAUGGUCUUGUCAAUAUUUCCAUUUUAUAAAUAAAAAUUAAGAUAUAAAGA